rnacentral:lncRNA from 1 species
AGUUUAGUGCAGAGCCUGCUGUCACUUUGCAAACCAGAACAAUCCCUCUGGAACCAGAGAUGUCAGAGUGACUCUUGUCAGGAGUGGGGAGGGGAUACCUGUAGGGCACCUGCCAACAGGACAGUCUCAUCUAUAGUGAAUCCAUGAGGACAGACACACUGUCUCAGCUUCUGUCUUUCAGCAGCCAAGUCACACAGGGCUCCGUACAUUUAUAAAGAGUUCAUAUGCAUUCGGUGUAUCUUGGGCUAAAGUACUGAAUUCAAGCAUUUCAAGAAACUGGACGCCCAGAGAAGGCAGACCACCAUGGCCGUCUGGACUGUCGUGACUCUGCAGUACUGGUUAUUCUGAAAAUGCCAAUACCAUGAUAUGCUAAGAUCAUCUUCAGCCCUUGUGUAUAUUCUUCUGCUUGGGGCAAAUGUGACUCGGGACAGCAUCCUCAAGGCUCCAUCAGUCUCCAGCUUCUUGUUUAAAAGUAAAUGAUCCACCCUAUUUAUUUGCUGCUAUUUUAUUAUAUUUGCUACUGAAGCCAUUCACUGGGCCACCUAGCGACUAGAUCUCAUUUAAUCAUACUCCAGAAAGUGCUGUGAGGAUCACACAGCGAUUGUUUUGGACUGAGACUGCAGGCAAGAAACCCAGAGCCGGACAGGACAAGCAGAUAUGCUCCCUCUGUUCUUGAAGCUGGAAACAAUCUUUAGCCACUGAGCAGUACCACAAAAUGGCUGUGACCUUGAACGGACAAAGAACUCAGGAAGUGACAGUUCUGGGUGAUGAUAAGACAGCACAACCUGGUCUUGGACUAAAAAUGCAGUUUUGAUCAAGAAGAAGGAAGACUAAAGUGUGGAUACUUCAGUCCUUCUUAGAAUGGGGAACAAAAUACCCAUGGAAGGAGUUACAGAGACAAAGUUCGGAGCUAAGGCGGAAGGAAGGACAAUCCAGAGACUGCCCCACCUGGGGAUCCAUCCCAUAUACAACCACCAAGCCCAGACACUAUUGCAUAUGCCAGAAAGACUUUGCUGACAGGACCCUGAUAUAGCUCUCUCUUGUGAGGCUAUGCCAGUGCCUGGCAAAUACAGAAGUGGAUGAUCAUAGUCAUCUCUUGGAUGGAACACAGGGCCCCCAACGGAGGAGCUAGAGAAAGUACCCAAGGAGCUGAAGGGUUCUGCAACCCUAUAGGUGGAACAACAAUAUGAACUAACCAGUACACCCAGAGCUUGUGUCUCUAGCUGCACGUGUAGCAGAAGAUGGCCUAGUUGGCCAUCAAUGGGAAGAGAGGUCCCUUGGUCUUCCAAAUUUUAUAUGCCCCAGUACAGGGGAAUGCCAGGGCCAAGAAGUGGAAGUGGGUAGGUAGGGGAGCAGGGUGCGGGGAGGGUAUAGGGGACUUUUGGGAUAGCAUUUGAAAUGUAAAUGAAGAAAAUAACUAAUAAAAAAUUGGAAAAAAUGCAGUUUUGGAGGACCGAAGAGAUGACUCAGUGGUUAAGAGGACUUGCUGCUCUUUCAGAGGUCCUGAGUUCAAUUCCCAACAACCAUAUGGUCGUGCACAAACCAUUUAUACUAGGGUCUGAUGCUCUCUUUUGGCAUGCAGUUAUAUAUGCAGAUAGAGCACACAUAUACAUAAAAUAAAAGUAAAUGAAUGAAUGAAAAAAUUCUGGCAGAAAACAAAUGCAGCUGUCUUGCUUUAGCCUCCCAAUUGCUGGGAUGAUAGCCAUGGACCAUCAUGCCUGGCUAACAUCUAUCUACCUGCCUGUCUAUCUGUUCAUGCAUUUACCCAUUGAUCUGUCUGUCUGUCUGUCUGUCUGUCUGUCUGUCUGUCUGUGUAUCUUGUCUCCUUGGUAUCCCAGGCUGGCCUCAAUCAUGAUCCUUAGCCUCCCAACUGCUGGGACUGCUGAUAUGUACUACCAUGUCUGGCCUAAUUAAAGUUUGAAUAAAAGGAAGUGUUUUGACUAUUA